CACAUCCCCAGAGGCAAGGGAAUCAAAAACAAAAAAGAGAAGUCAGGAGGUAGAAAUGCAUUUUACCUGCCCUGGAAUUCAUUUAAGAAGAAUACUGUGUACAAGAGACCAGUUUGAGUGAGGAGGCUAAUGACAAAUGAGCAUUUGUCCAGCAAGCAGGGUCUCCUGCUGGUGUGGUUGAUGCAGGAGCAGAAUGGGAGUUUGGAGAACCUGGAGCCUAUAAGGAAGGAUUUCACCAGGCAAGAUUGACAUGGAGCUUUCACUUUGUUUUACCCCAGUUUUG